rnacentral:rRNA from 1 species
UAUUGUAUUUUUUAUUGGUAAAAUGUUGAACAAAAGGUUCCGUAGGUGAACCUGCGGAAGGAUCAUUA